rnacentral:lncRNA from 13 species
AUGGGGAAGGACGGGACAACAAAAAAAAGUGUUUUGGAGCGGAGCUGGGUGAGUGGGCCGGGACGGCGCAUCGUUGUGGAGGCUAUCUGGAGCUGGGUGAGUGGGCCGGGACGGGGCAUCGUUGUGGAGGCUAUCUGGAGCUGGGUGAGUGGGCCGGGACGGCGCAUCGUUGUGGAGGCUAUCUGGAGCUGGGUGAGUGGGCCGGGACGGCGCAUCGUUGUGGAGGCUAUAUGGAGCUGGGUGAGUGGGCCGGGACGGCGCAUUGUUGUGGAGGCUAUAUGGAGCUGGGUGAGUGGGACGGGACGGUGCAUUGUUGUGGAGGCUAUCUGGAGCUGCUGGGCGCGAGGCGAACCGCUGGCCACGUGCUUCUUGCUGAGGACGCCAUGAAUUAUUACGUUUCAUUCUAUUAUCAUGGGCAUGCUUCAUUAGGCCCAGACAAACGGCCCCACAGAGCCACUGUGCUCCAGGGGCCGCCUCUCCUCACACAGAGGAGAGAGAGAGAGAGGGGGACACCCGGCUCCCGCGCUCUCCACUGAAAAGGAGGACGAUGGACAAAAACGCAUUGUGCGUGGAUUUAAAAAGGAGCUUACGGCUGCCAUGGAGGAAGAAAAAAACGUGCUUUUGGAGAAGAGAAUAAUGAAUCCGCCUGCUGAUACACCCUCAAUGAGAUGAAGAAGAGCACUGUACGCCAGCGCACCAAUAGAAAGAGAAGGAAAAGAAAGGGAUGAAAUUGGAGGCAAAUGACACUUGAAUGUUUGAAAUAACUGACAGCUGCACAAUAGGACAGCAAGACAGACUGCAAUCUGCACACGGACAGAUGAAUGGAUAGAGGCUUGAAAAGGACAGACUAAAGACAUACACACAGAUAGUCAGUUCAAAAGGAGAAAUGGAUAAAUAGACAGCCAUGAAAAUGGACAUGAAAGUUAAAGCUGUGCACAGAUAAACAACCUAAACAAAGAGAGUGAUAAGAAGACCGAAUCACCAUUUACAAUAUUUGCCUAUAAGUACCAUGACUGAAAAGAAACAUAACUUGACAACUUGUUGACAACUUGUUGACAACUUGUUGACAACUGUCAACAAAGCCCCCCCCAAAAAAAUCUAAACUUGAGGCAUUCUUUGAAACUUCAACAUCAUUUAAAGUGAAGCUGUUCAGUUAUAUUCUUCAGUGUUCAGGUUGUGGGCCCAGGUUUGGAGCCAAUCUUCAGCUCUGAUGGAGGGCUUACUGUGCCAGUCACUGUGUCCCUGAGAGCAUUCCACAGUACAGUACGGGAUAACCACCUAGCCUCAGGUCUGUGUGUGUGUGUGUGUGUGUGUGUGUGUGGUGUACACGCCUACAUGUGUGCGCGAGUGUGCCUGUGCAUAUCGCUGCAGCUCCAUCCAGUACAGGCCGUGAGCUGUAGGUGGCUGGGGAGCAGAGGCUCUUUGGGAUGAAUGCGUUUCUUGUGCUCGGCAGUGUGGAGGUGACUGGGUAUCAGGUCACACUCCUCCUGCUUCUUACUGCAUAGCACAGACAUUUUCCAUUCUGUCAGCGCGAGCACACUGGCUCCUUCCAAACUCAGCGCCACUUCAUUAAAUGACUUUAGACUCUUGGCAGAGGCAGUGGGAAAAGUCUAUAUUAACUGUGUGUGAGAUGCACUGGGCGGCCAACAAAGGCCAUAGUUGUUCGUCUGCAGUGGGUGCUGCUGAGGGGGAUUUCUAAGAUUAGAGGGGUACCCCUGGCCCUUACACCACGGACGACUCUGCAUCCCCACACCCCCCUCAGGGGGUCUGACCCCUAUCCCACCUCAGCGGAAGUGUGGUCAGAGAAGUGACUGAAACACCUGGCCCAGCUACGUAUUGGGGGAGGGAGGGGGGGCGACGUCACCCUGAAGGGUCCAGCAGGUUUCCUCAUGUGUUUACAGGAGGUUGGUAUGUUGUGCAGUAGGCAAUGGCCAUGUGGGGAACCUGGCAGAUAAACUGGACCGUUUACUCAGCUCAUUUAGAGGAUUAGGUCAUUUAAGAGCACAGUUCUGCAGAAAACAUGCUGUAGUUACACCGGAAAGUCAGCAUCAUCUGUUCUAGUGUUCUUUCUAUGUCCAGUUAACAUACAUCUGCAACCGCAUCAUAGCUUUUUAAUCAAAGGGGAAACUAUGUGAACAUAUUAGUGCAUAAGCCAGAUAAUCGUAAACACACACUUCCAGCUCAGUGUAUUACCAUGCGGUCUACACUUGUUGCAUUCGGCGCAUGUGACAAAUAAAGUUGGAUUUGAUGUAAGCAGUGUACACUUGGUGGUGAUAGAUCUAGGAGCCUUACUGACCUAAAACGAAAUCCCGCUGCAACAUUCAAAGUUAGUAUUAAAAUUACUAUUCUUUGAAGGCGUACUUCUGACCCUCUCUGCCAUACACCCGUAGUGCUGGGCCAUAUGGCCAAAGAUUAUAUCUGGAUUUUUUCAAAGUUAUGGGCAAUUCACAAUAUAUAUAUAUAUAUAUACACACUGCUCAAAAAAAUAAAGGGAACACUUAAACAACACAAUGUAACUCCAAGUCAAUCACACUGUCCACUUAGGAAGCAACACUGAUUGAUAAUAAAUUUCACAUGUUGUUGUGCAAAUGGAAUAGACAACAGGUGGAAAUUAUAGGCAAUUAGCAAGACACCCCCAAUAAAGGAGUGGUUCUGCAGGUGGUGACCACAGACCACUUCUCAGUUCCUAUGCUUCCUGGCUGAUGUUUUGGUCACUUUUGAAUGCUGGCGGUGCUUUCACUCUAGUGGUAGCAUGAGACGGAAUCUACAACCCACACAAGUGGCUCAGGUAGUGCAGCUCAUCCAGGAUGGCACAUCAAUGCGAGCUGUGGCAAGAAGUUUUGCUGUGUCUGUCAGCGUAGUGUCCAGAGCAUGAAGGCGCUACCAGGAGACAGGCCAGUACAUCAGGAGACGUGGAGGAGGCCGUAGGAGGGCAACAACCCAGCAGCAGGAUCGUUACCUCCGCCUAAGAAUAUUUCAUUCAUUCAGAUCUAGGAUGUGUUAUUUUAGUGUUCCCUUUAUUUUUUUGAGCAGUGUAUAUAUAUAUAUAUAUAUAUAUAUAUAUAUAUUGUGAAUUGCCCAUAACUUUGAAAAAAAUCCAGAUAUAUAAAUAUAUAUUUUUAAGUUCUAUAAAUAAGCUUUGCUGUUAAAAGUCAAUACAUUGCAUGUCAAAGUCAGGCAAUAAUCUAAUGAAUUCAGGGCUUGUAAAAUUAUACCUAGGGUAAAUAUAAGCCUUCCACAACCAUAAGACCCACUAAUAAUGUAAGUAUUUUGUUCUCUCUGCUACAAGCGGUACCAGGCCGCCAAGUCUGGGACCAAAAAGGCUCCUGAACAGCUUCUACCUCCAAGCCAUAAGACUGCUGAACACUUAAUCAAAUGGCCACCCAGACUAUUUGCAUUGACCUCGUUUAUUUAUCAUUUCUUUGCACUGACAUCCUUACGUUAUCCUUACGGACCUUACGGAUCUAUUCACACUCACUGGACUCUACCCACACACUAAUCACACUAACACACACUCACAUACACACGCAUAUUGACACCACACACAUACUUUCACACUCUUCACAUACGCUGCUGCUACUCUGUUUAUUAUAUAUCCUGAUUGCCUAGUCACGUUUACCCCUACCUACAUGUACAUGCUGAAUUACCUCAACUACCUCGUACCCCUGCACAUCGACUCAGUACUGGUAGUCCUUGCAUAAAGCCUCGUUAUUGUUACAUUAUUAUGUUACCAUUUCCUUUUUUUUUAAUAAUCUUUUCUUACUUUUUAACUCUGCAUUGUCGGGAGAGGGCUUGUAAAUAAGGAUUUCACGGUAAAGUCUAAACCUGUAAUAAAAUGUGAUUCGAUUCAUCAUUUGCCCCACAGCCAGAGAUAAAGACAGGGAAGAAACCACAAUUUAGCUACCUAUAGGUCGCUAUAGCCUUCGUAUUUAUUUUGUCAUUAUAUUGUUUUCAUAGAACUUUAGCAAUUAAAUUAUUAAUUUUGAAAUUAUCUGAAUAAAUGUUCCAUAAAUAUUUUUACCAAAUAGUGCUAUCUUCUGUAUACCACCCCUAUCUUGUCACAACACAACUGAUUGGUUCAAACACAUUAAGGAAAGAAAUUCCACAAAAUGACCUUUAACAAGGCACACCAGUUAAUUCUUCUCUCCAAGAUCGCAUAGCAGUUCAGACGUCUUUUGUCCUCGUCUUGUCGUGUCCUGUAUAUAUAUAUAUUUACAACUUUUUUCACAUACAUUUUAUUUUUAUUUUCCAUCAACUCAUCUUCAAAACACUCUCCUGCAACCCGCCUCACCAAUUUAUAUUUAUAAAAAAGUAUUAUUUACCUCAGAUCUGUAAUCCUCCAAGAAGCUAGCCAGAAACUCCAAGAAGCUAGCCAGAAACUAGCCAGAAGCUAGCCAGGAGCUAGCCCAGAAGCUAAUCCAGAAGCUAAUCAGAAGCUAGUUAGCUUCUUUACUGGCAAAUCGUUAGUAUUCAGCUAACCACGGUUUGUGGUCAUCGGCUAUCCUUUGGCUCGAAAAUCUAUCGAAAAUCUAUCGCCAGUUUUGUACGGCGCAGCGCGGCUCGGAACGGAACAUACCGGACCAAUUUUUCUCUCNNNNNNNNNNCAUAGCAGUUCAGACGUCUUUUGUCCUCGUCUUGUCGUGUCCUGUAUAUAUAUAUAUUUACAACUUUUUUCACAUACAUUUUAUUUUUAUUUUCCAUCAACUCAUCUUCAAAACACUCUCCUGCAACCCGCCUCACCAAUUUAUAUUUAUAAAAAAGUAUUAUUUACCUCAGAUCUGUAAUCCUCCAAGAAGCUAGCCAGAAACUCCAAGAAGCUAGCCAGAAACUAGCCAGAAGCUAGCCAGGAGCUAGCCCAGAAGCUAAUCCAGAAGCUAAUCAGAAGCUAGUUAGCUUCUUUACUGGCAAAUCGUUAGUAUUCAGCUAACCACGGUUUGUGGUCAUCGGCUAUCCUUUGGCUCGAAAAUCUAUCGAAAAUCUAUCGCCAGUUUUGUACGGCGCAGCGCGGCUCGGAACGGAACAUACCGGACCAAUUUUUCUCUCCGUGUCCCUGGAUUUCGACUGCUCUCUGGACAUUCAUGCCCGGAUCUCACAGCUAGCUAGCUGCUAUCCGUGUGACAAUCGGCUUUCGUCGAUUCCGGAGCAAGCAUCGGUUGUUCCGGUGGUGCUAGCAAGCUGUCA